rnacentral:rRNA from 1 species
GAUGAGCGCUGACGAAUGCUUAACACAUGCGAGUCGACUCGAGUCUUCGGACUUGGGUGGCGCACGGGUGAGUAACGCGUAAAGAACUUGCCUCUUAGACCGGGACAACAUCUGGAAACGGAUGCUAAUACCGGAUAUUAUGGUUUUUUCGCAUGGAGGAAUCAUGAAAGCUAGAUGCGCUAAGAGAGAGCUUUGCGUCCCAUUAGCUGGUUGGUGAGGUAACGGCCCACCAAGGCAAUGAUGGGUAGCCGGCCUGAGAGGGUGAACGGCCACAAGGGGACUGAGACACGGCCCUUACUCCUACGGGAGGCAGCAGUGGGGAAUAUUGGACAAUGGACCGCAAGUCUGAUCCAGCAAUUCUGUGUGCACGAUGACGUUUUUCGGAAUGUAAAGCGCUUUCACUCGGGAAGAACUCAGUGACGGUUCCGACACAAGAAGCGACCGCUAAAUACGUGCCCGCCGCCUCGGUAAGACUUAUGUCGCAUGCGUUAUCCGGAUUUAUUGGGCGUAAAGCGCGUCUAGGCGGCAAGGAUUUCUGAUGUGAAAAUGCGGAGCUCAAUUCCUUAUGGCGUUGGAAACUGCCUUACUAGAGUACUGGAGAGGUUGGCGGAACUACAAGUGUAGAGGUGAAAUUUGUAUAUAUUUGGAGGAAUGCCGAUGGGCAAGCCAGCCUACUGGACAUAUACAGAUGCUAGUGUUCGAAAGCGUGGUUAGCAACAGG